rnacentral:lncRNA from 1 species
CGUGUGUGUGUUAAAAUGAGAUUUUUUUUUCCAGUGAACGCACGGCGACAAACUUGGCACCCAUGAUCAAACUGGGAUAUGAAGGACAGGUGCGCAUUAGAGUCGGUCAACUAUUGCGAAUGGCCGAAGUCAACCAUUUCGUGCAGGCACAUGAAAGUUAUUUUGUUCAAAUGUUUUCUAAGAUUAUCAUGCCUGGCAACCAAUCUUCUGGCGGAAGUUGAGCGAGGUCGUAUUAUGAAAACAGUACGUGCCGAUGAAGAAAAUGAAGGUGUGUUGUUUUUCUUUCUGUAACCAAAGCCAUGCCAACCGUGUGCCGGCCGCCCCUAUAGUUCACAGGGGCUCUCCCGUGCUUCCGAAUCUCGCCGGCAAGCUGUCUGGCCGACGCGGCGCAUCGCGCACUGUAUAUUACUU